AGGACGAACGCUGGCGGCGUGCCUAACACAUGCAAGUCGAACGGAGCCCGCAAGGGUUCAGUGGCGAACGGGUGCGUAACACGUGAGGAACUUGUCCAUCGGCGGGGGAUAGCCGGCCCAACGGCCGGGUAAUACCGCGUACGCCGUCCGGAGCGCAUGCUCUGGCCGGGAAAGCAGCAAUGCACCGAUGGAGAGCCUCGCGGCCUAUCAGCUAGUUGGUGGGGUAAUGGCCUACCAAGGCGACGACGGGUAGCUGGUCUGAGAGGAUGACCAGCCACAUUGGGACUGAGACACGGCCCAGACUCCUACGGGAGGCAGCAGUGGGGAAUAUUGCGCAAUGGGCGAAAGCCUGACGCAGCGACGCCGCGUGUGGAUGACGGCCUUCGGGUUGUAACCACUGUCGCGAGGGACGAAGAUCUGACGGUACCUCGAAAGGAAGCACCGGCUAACUCUGCGCCAGCAGCCGCGGU
rnacentral:rRNA from 1 species